UGUUAGACUUUAUCAAGGUCCUUGUGCGC
rnacentral:piRNA from 1 species